AUGGCUGGCAGCAACUGCGAGACUCGAGUGUUCACGAACGUGCCCGAGGGGUUUGUCAAACUCCUCGUCUCCAUCACCAAGCUCACGAUCGGGCCAGCGACUCGUCCGGAGUUCACGCUUUACCAGCACAAGCUCAGUGACGACGUGUCUAUGCACCAAGCUGUGGUGCAAUUCAAGGGAGGACGUUCUGCAUCUCGCCACUUCCGUUUUGUCGGAAGGGCCAUGCCUACGGAGAGGAUCGCCAUGCAGAUGGCUGCCCGUGAGGCGAUAGCUCGUCUUCGGGACAUCCUUCCUAUGAUGAAGACUCGUCGCUACCGCUACCUCCCAUGCCAUGUGCCAUAUACCUGUCACUAUGCAUUUGCCUGCCAUCGGGGAGAGCGAGAUGAAGCCAUUGAGAUGGUCGUGGAGUACCUCAAGGCUCUGGAGGAAUCCUUCGACAACCUCGUGGAUGAUCUUGUGGCUGCCCGCAUGGACUUAGUCCGGGGCGGUCCUGCCAGCAGGAAGGAGCUUCUCCUCACGGCACUGCCUCUGACAUUCGUCUCGUCUUCAGCCUCUUAUGCACUGGCCAUUUUGGCCACUGCUCACCGUCUGCCUACCACUGAGGAGUUCGACAGGGUCGUCGCUCCUACUCCAGUCAGAGCUGCACCGCCUGCCGCACCCGCACUACCACCUGUCGCCCCCGCGCCAUCACCGCAGCGCAGUGUUACGCGCCAGGAGCCAGCUAGAGAGGAGGUGGAGGUUGAAUCUCCUGCACCGCUGAGUCUUGCCCUCGGCAAGGGAAAGGACAUCGUCACCAUCUCCGACUGA
rnacentral:rRNA from 1 species